rnacentral:rRNA from 1 species
AUUGAACGCUGGCGGCAGGCCUAACACAUGCAAGUCGAGCGGAUGAGAAGAGCUUGCUCUUCGAUUCAGCGGCGGACGGGUGAGUAAUGCCCAGGAAUCUGCCUGGUAGUGGGGGACAACGUCUCGAAAGGGACGCUAAUACCGCAUACGUCCUACGGGAGAAAGCAGGGGACCUUCGGGCCUUGCGCUAUCAGGUGAGCCUAGGUCGGAUUAGCUUGUUGGUGAGGUAAUGGCUCACCAAGGCGACGAUCCGUAACUGGUCUGAGAGGAUGAUCAGUCACACUGGAACUGAGACACGGUCCAGACUCCUACGGGAGGCAGCAGUGGGGAAUAUUGGACAAUGGGCGAAAGCCUGAUCCAGCCAUGCCGCGUGUGUGAAGAAGGUCUUCGGAUUGUAAAGCACUUUAAGUUGGGAGGAAGGGCAGUCAGCGAAUACCUGGUUGUUUUGACGUUACCGACAGAAUAAGCACCGGCUAACUCUGUGCCAGCCGCCGCAGUAAAAC